rnacentral:rRNA from 2 species
GCUGAGUUUAAGCAUAUCAAUAAGCGGAGGAAAAGAAACUAACA